UACGUAGGUGGCAAGCGUUGUCCGGAUUUAUUGGGUUUAAAGGGUGCGUAGGCGGUCAAGUAAGUCAGCGGUGAAAUCCGGCAGCUCAACUGUCGAUGUGCCAUUGAUACUGCAUGACUUGAGUACUGAUGAGGUAGGCGGAAUUGACGGUGUAGCGGUGAAAAUGCUUAGAUAUCGUCAAGAACACCGAUAGCGAAGGCAGCUUACUAAGCAGUAACUGACGCUGAUGCACGAAAGUGUGGGGAUCAAACAGG
rnacentral:rRNA from 1 species